rnacentral:rRNA from 1 species
AACGAACGCUGGCGGCAGGCCUAACACAUGCAAGUCGAACGCCCCUUCGGGGGAGUGGCAGACGGGUGAGUAACGCGUGGGAACGUGCCCAUCGGUUCGGAACAACCCAGGGAAACUUGGGCUAAUACCGGAUACGUCCGAGAGGAGAAAGAUUUAUCGCCGAUGGAUCGGCCCGCGUCUGAUUAGCUAGUUGGUGGGGUAAUGGCCCACCAAGGCGACGAUCAGUAGCUGGUCUGAGAGGAUGAUCAGCCACACUGGGACUGAGACACGGCCCAGACUCCUACGGGAGGCAGCAGUGGGGAAUAUUGGACAAUGGGCGCAAGCCUGGUCCAGCCAUGCCGCGUGAGUGAUGAAGGCCCUAGGGUUGUAAAGCUCUUUCGGCGGGGACGAUAAUGACGGUACCCGCAGAAGAAGCCCCGGCUAACUUCGUGCCAGCCGCCGCAGUAACAC